UACGUAGGGGGCAAGCGUUGUCCGGAUUUAUUGGGCGUAAAGAGCGUGUAGGCGGUUUGGUAGGUCCGCUGUGAAAACUCGAGGCUCAACCUCGAGACGCCGGUGGAAACCAUCAGACUAGAGUCCGGAAGAGGAGAGUGGAAUUCCUGGUGUAGCGGUGAAAUGCGCAGAUAUCAGGAGGAACACCGGUGGCGAAGGCGGUUCUCUGGGCCUUACCUGACGCUGAGGAGCGAAAGCGUGGGGAGCGAACAGG
rnacentral:rRNA from 1 species